rnacentral:lncRNA from 1 species
CCCAUCCUCUAUCUUUGUUGCCAUAAUCUAUACAGUUCCCAGGAGUCUAGAAGUUUGCUUCCAAGGAGUCCAAAUCUGAGUUCUUUCUAAUUUGGACUGUGGAUGAAGAUGCCGGUGGAGGUGGAAAAGGGAUCAGAGGAUGGAGUUUACAUUGUGAUUCUCUCCUUGAGCUUUGGAGGAGGUUCCAUAUGAAUAUAACUUCUUGCCUAAGUUGGUUUAGGUAAGAAGACUCUUCAUGUGCCUGUUUCCUUCAAAUUUUAAGGGAAUCACUCAGGCUGCAUCUUCUCUCCCUUCUACUCUCCCUGAGAUGAGAGAAGAACGAUCACCAAUGGCAAAUGCAGUUGUAGCGAAGUAAAACCAAGAGCUGGCCUCACGCGCCACAGAGAAUGCUGCGUCUCCUCCUCAUGGUUUCUGGGGCUCCUCACGCUGAGAAACUUCUGUAGCCACAAAUCAUAUAAAUGAUCCCUGAAAGUAUAGUCUUUCCAUUUCUUACUAAUGAAGUCAUGCUCUGCUCACCUCCAACUUGACAGUGUUUGGUAGCUUUGUCAUAGGCUUCUCAUUGCUGAGGCAGGAACCAUAGGAAUAUUGGCCUCAGAAACAGUAAGGUGAGGGACAAAGAGUCUAAGAUAAGGAACCUAAUAUUGCAUCAUUGCCUAGUGGCAGGGAUGGCAGAACGCUGUCAUUCCCCACCCUGUGCCGGUGGCAGACAUUGCUAAUCAAUCAUGCACUCUUAUCUACUGAACCUGAGGAGCCUCAGACUCCUCAAAAUGGUGGCCCUGAGUCACAUCCCAG